rnacentral:rRNA from 1 species
GACGAACGCUGGCGGCGUGCUUAACACAUGCCAGUCGAACGGAAAGGCCCUGCUUUUGUGGGGUGCUCGAGUGGCGAACGGGUGAGUAACACGUGAGUAACCUGCCCUUGACUUUGGGAUAACUUCAGGAAACUGGGGCUAAUACCGGAUAGGAGCUCCUGCUGCAUGGUGGGGGUUGGAAAGUUUCGGCGGUUGGGGAUGGACUCGCGGCUUAUCAGCUUGUUGGUGGGGUAGUGGCUUACCAAGGCUUUGACGGGUAGCCGGCCUGAGAGGGUGACCGGCCACAUUGGGACUGAGAUACGGCCCAGACUCCUACGGGAGGCAGCAGUGGGGAAUAUUGCACAAUGGGCGGAAGCCUGAUGCGGCAACGCCGCGUGCGGGAUGACGGCCUUCGGGUUGUAAACCGCUUUCGCCUGUGACGAGGCGUGAGUGACGGUAAUGGGUAAAGAAGCACCGGCUAACUACGUG